AUCGUUCUCCUCUCUCUUCGAUUCGGUGCAUGCGCCUGCCAAAGGGGUGCUGCGAUUUGGGUCAUUCAUCCUUCACCUACGUCUUUGCUCUUGCUUCGGUGCAUGCAUCUUCGAGAUCCAGUAUCCCUUGCUUUCAAUCUUGAACAAUGCAUGUCUAUCACAAUCUUGCAGUGGAAUCGGUUUGAGCGGCUGGCAGAGACGGGGCUCAACUUCUUCAAUCCAUUGUCCGACAAAUGUCUGGAUACUGAAGAUUGUGCGUAUUGACGCCAAGUUCAACUUUGAAGGUUUAAAGGUUGUUGAAUUUGAUGAUAAACAUGUGUCUUUGAUGGAUCAUACAUCUCGAAAUCAUGGUGCUCUCAUUAUAGAAGGAGAUGCAAGAUCAGACCUCUCAAGGUGAUGAAAUGAAUUGAUGAUACGCAUCAUGGUGGGAAUCGGAGAGAUCUAGAAAGGAUGGAUUAAUCAAACAGUUGGCAUCCUCAGUUCCGCUAUAAGACAGAGUUUCAAAGUCAUGAGCCCGAGAUAAGAAUUGUUAGGGAAGAAUAUUUGACAAAGAAAGAGAACUUGAUUAGACAGGCAAUACAGGUGAAAAUAACAAGGUCAAUGACUUCAAUGCUGAAGCAAAUGCCGCUGGAGAUGAUGAGGAUGAUGUGGCUGAUUUUCAUUACCAAUUACUAUUUCGUCUCAUUCUUUUGAUAUUGCUUUGCUGAGUAUGCAUUGACUACAUACAGCUAAUUGUGCUUCUGUGAAACAUUUUACAAUAAUACAAAUAAACAAAUAAAAAUGUCUGACUUAGGAAAGGGCAAUCGCUACAGAAGGCCACACAAGCAAUGGAUGGAUACUAGGUUCCAGCAACAUGGCCUGCUGUUGUUGAAAGGUAAGAUGCGAAUAUUAUUUUUUUAUUGUAUUUGAUGUUUCAUUGAUGUGAGGUCGUUUACAUGUGAGAAUAAAACAACUAGUUGGUUUGUGGUUCAAUUUCAACGGGUUGGGUGGGGUUUAAGGGCCAAUGGAUUGGUUUUGGUUUGUUCACUCCUAUCGUAACUAUUAUCACCAGAAUUGCCUUCCAACGAUCGAUGUUCAAGUAAUUAAGCUCAAAUUUUUGUUCUCCAUGUUUAAAUACAAGCACGUAUUGUUGAUUUUGAAGUCUCUCAAGGCAUAUAUUCAUGAGCACACAUUGAGGAUAAUGAUUCAGUAUGUUUAUGGCUGGGAGCAAACGUCAUGUUGGAAUAUUCAUCUAAAGAGGUUUUCACUUCUACACACGUAUAUUCUGAUUCAAUGAUGGAAGAAUAAGUUCGUCUGUGACUCUGGUGCAGGCCACUAUUCUCCAGAAGAAUUUAGAAAAUGCAAAAGCAAGUUUAGAGGUUCUUAUUGGUGAUCCACAAUUCUUGGGAGAUCAGGUGACAAUAACUCACGUAUUUUUAGUACAUGUUAGAACCAGUUGCACAAGCCCCAUCAUGACUACUUCUCUGAUACCGUAAGAUAUUCAACCUUGCCGCGUGUUGGUUUUCAUUAGCUUCGGCCUCAAGGUUGUCUUUUCUUUUCCUAUUUUUUUCCACGUUGGCUGUUUAACCUGAUGUGUAGUGGUCAGCGAAUGGCAAAAAUGCUUAUGUAUUUGAGUGACAAUGUGGAAAGGGUAGAGACGUUCUUCUCUAUGGUAUUAAUUUCUUUUCAAAUCUACUUAUGGUGUCGUUUCUCUGUGUUUUAUAAUAACAAUAUGGUUUCAUCAUUAAUAGCAGUAUUGGACCUUUCUUUUUAGUGGCCAAAUUAGUUUUGCACCUACGAAGACUUCAGAAUUCUAUGCUCAAUAAUUUCUUAUCCACUCACAAACUUGCUUAUUGCUGAAUUCUUGCUGCUUCUGCUUUCUUUUUCUGCUUCAAACUGGAUUUGACCAUUUUAUGGUUCUCUAAAAAACUAUUAAUAGCAUUAAUGCAGGUAACAAGUCACUUAUCUGCUUUCAUUCUCUGUGUACUAUCAAAGCAUGUCAUUCCGACUGAACAACCAUUCGAAAGGUUGUGCCGUUUAGCUUCAAGGUAUUGCUACGUGUUCUUAUUGGGGUAUAUUUUAUGAAGCAUGCCUAUUAUCGAUCAUAUAUAAAUUCUUUGAAGUAACAUGCCCAUGUUUUAUAUAAUGUGCAUCAUGGUGAUGGAGUUGAAGAAGCUUUUUAUUUCACAGACAGUGCAUGGAGAAUGGUCACCUUUUCAUGAAAACAACAAUACAUCCACUAAUAUUGGUUAAAUGGAAUUACUAAAUUCUGCUUAGACAUCAACUUGAUAUGUAUAGCAGAAUAUAUGAU